UCCCCUGUAGUUUAAUCGGCAAAACGCUGCACUGUUAAUGCAGUCAUGGUGGUUCGACUCCACCUGGGGGAG
rnacentral:tRNA from 2 species